AAGGAUUUAAAAGUCAAUGUCUAGGUUCUUCUCUCAGAAACCCUAGCAAUUUCUCCCCUUUCCUCAACCCCCAAGACAGUUUUGUAGCAAGACGCAAUCUUUGCAUCAAUUUUCGUGAAAUUCUCGAGCAUUUAAUUGUUAUAGCAGCAAGACGCAAUCUUUGCACCAGCCAACAGGAAAUUUCCUUUGGACUUGCUUCAUAUAACUUUCAGCACUCCGAUCAAUUUAUGUUUUGAUCAAGGCUACUAUAUUUUUGGAGAUGUUGGUUAUUGGUUUCAGCUCAUUUAUGAAAUUUAUCUACCGAUUGGAUAUCAUUUGUUCUAAUUAUGGUGUGUAAAUGUGUGAAGUUUGGUUGAGUAGCUGGUUCCAGUUUGUUAUUUCAUCUAAAAGAGGGGCAUUGAUCUGCAAAUGGCAGGGGGCUUCUAUUCUAGCUAGGAGUAUUGUUGUUGAUUAUAGGUGAGAUGGAUUUGCUAGUUUAUAGCAACCCUUGUUUUGAGAAUCUUUAUUUGCCUCUAUAGUAAAAAUAAUUUACCAAUUGCAUGCUUUGGUAUUUUUGUAUGUGUUAAACUUUAAGAAAAUAGUUUGGAAAUCAAGUAUACUGGAAGAUAUACCGUUUGAUUAUGUGAAAAUAAGGUUGUUGACAUGUAGUUA